rnacentral:rRNA from 1 species
UACAGAGGGUGCGAGCGUUGUCCGGAAUCACUGGGCGUAAAGGGCGCGUAGGUGGCGACCCAAGUCUGGGGUGAAAGCUCGAUGCUCAACAUCGAGUCGGCCACGGAGACUGGGUGGCUCGAGCACUGUAGGGGCAGAUGGAAUUCCGGGUGUAGCGGUGGAAUGCGUAGAGAUCCGGAAGAACACCGGUGGCGAAGGCGGUCUGCUGGGCAGUAGCUGACACUGAGGCGCGACAGCGUGGGGAGCAAACAGG